GAUGAAGAACGUAGCGAAAUGCGAUAAGUAAUGCGAAUUGCAGAAUCCGUGAGUCAUCGAAUCUUUGAACGCACAUUGCGCCUGCUAGUAUUCUGGCGGGCAUGCCUGUUCGAGCGUCAUUUCAACCAUCAAGCCCUAGGCUUGCGUUGGAGCCCUGCGGCUGCCGCAGGCUCCCAAAUCCAGUGGCGGGCUCGUCGUCGUACCGAGUGCAGUAAACAUCCUCGCUCAGGGAACGUGACGGGUUCUUGCCGUGAAACCCCCCACAUAUCAAGGUUGACCUCGGAUCAGGUAGGAAUACCCGCUGAACUUAAGCAUAUCAAUAAGCGGAGGA
rnacentral:misc_RNA from 1 species